rnacentral:rRNA from 1 species
ACGCUGGCGGCGUGCCUAAUACAUGCAAGUCGAACGGUCUUUCUAUGGAAGCUUGCUUCCACUGAGAAGAUAGUGGCGAACGGGUGAGUAGCACGUGGGUAACCUGCCCAUAAGAGGGGGAUAACAUCCGGAAACGGGUGCUAAUACCGCAUAGUUUUCUUGAUCGCAUGAUCGGGAAAGGAAAGACGGCCUUUGUGCUGUCGCUUAUGGAUGGACCCGCGGCGUAUUAGUUAGUUGGUGAGGUAACGGCUCACCAAGACGAUGAUACGUAGCCGACCUGAGAGGGUGAUCGGCCACAUUGGGACUGAGACACGGCCCAAACUCCUACGGGAGGCAGCAGUAGGGAAUCUUCCGCAAUGGACGAAAGUCUGACGGAGCAACGCCGCGUGAGUGAAAGAAGGUUUUCGGAUCGUAAAACUCUGUUGUCAGAGAAGAACAAGUUGGAGAGUAACUGCUCCAGCCUUGACGGUAUCUGACCAGAAAGCCACGGCUAACUACGUGCCAGCCGCCGC